ACGAGCGCUGGCGGCGUGCUUAACACAUGCAAGUCGAACGGAAAGGCCCUGCUUUUGUGGGGUGCUCGCGUGGCGAACGGGUGAGUAACACGUGAGUAACCUGCCCUUGACUUUGGGAUAACUUCAGGAAACUGGGGCUAAUACCGGAUAGGAGCUCCUGCUGCAUGGUGGGGGUUGGAAAGUUUCGGCGGUUGGGGAUGGACUCGCGGCUUAUCAGCUUGUUGGUGGGGUAGUGGCUUACCAAGGCUUUGACGGGUAGCCGGCCUGAGAGGGUGACCGGCCACAUUGGGACUGAGAUACGGCCCAGACUCCUACGGGAGGCAGCAGUGGGGAAUAUUGCACAAUGGGCGGAAGCCUGAUGCAGCAACGCCGCGUGCGGGAUGACGGCCUUCGGGUUGUAAACCGCUUUCGCCUGUGACGAAGCGUGAGUGACGGUAAUGGGUAAAGAAGCACCGGCUAACUACGUG
rnacentral:rRNA from 1 species